UACGAAGGGGGCUAGCGUUGUUCGGAGUUACUGGGCGUAAAGGGCGCGUAGGCGGCCCUCCAAGUCGGGCGUGAAAGCCCACGGCUCAACCGUGGAAUUGCGCUCGAGACUGAAGGGCUCGAGGACGGGAGAGGAUGGUGGAAUUCCCAGUGUAGAGGUGAAAUUCGUAGAUAUUGGGAAGAACACCGGUGGCGAAGGCGGCCAUCUGGGCCAAUAUUGACGCUGAGGUGCGAAAGCGUGGGGAGCAAACAGG
rnacentral:rRNA from 1 species